CCCCCGUGGGAAACGAACCCACAACCCUGGCGUUGCAAGCGCCAUGCUCUACCAACUGAGCUACAGGGGACCUACACUUGGUAGGUGAACAUUCACAAACACAAAAAGAGACGUUGGGUGGAGAUUAUGUAGUACUCUAGCUCAGCUCUGUAGUGACUGGUUGGGACUGUCAGGUGUAGUACUGUAGCUCAGGUCACAGGUAUAGUAGCUCAGUACUGUAGUGACUGGUUGGGACUGUCAGGUGUAGCUCAGGUCACAGGUAUAGUAGCUCAGUACUGUAGUGACUGGUUGGGACUGUCAGGUGUAGCUCAGGUCACAGGUAUAGUAGCUCAGUACUGUAGUGACUGGUUGGGACUGUCAGGUGUAGCUCAGGUCACAGGUAUAGUAGCUCAGUACUGUAGUGACUGGUUGGGACUGUCAGGUGUAGCUCAGGUCACAGGUAUAGUAGCUCAGUACUGUAGUGACUGGUUGGGACUGUCAGGUGUAGCUCAGGUCACAGGUAUAGUAGCUCAGUACUGUAGUGACUGGUUGGGACUGUCAGGUGUAGCUCAGGUCACAGGUAUAGUAGCUCAGUACUGUAGUGACUGGUUGGGACUGUCAGGUGUAGCUCAGGUCACAGGUAUAGUAGCUCAGCUCUGUAGUGACUGGUUGGGACUGUCAGGUGUAGCUCAGGUCACAGGUAUAGUAGCUCAGCUCUGUAGUGACUGGUUGGGACUGUCAGGUGUAGUACUGUAGCUCAGGUCACAGGUAUAGUAGCUCAGUACUGUAGUGACUGGUUGGGACUGUCAGGUGUAGUACUGUAGAACAGGUCACAGGUAUAGUAGCUCAGUACUGUAGUGACUGGUUGGGACUGUCAGGUGUAGCUCAGGUCACAGGUAUAGUAGCUCAGCUCUGUAGUGACUGGUUGGGACUGUCAGGUGUAGCUCAGGUCACAGGUAUAGUAGCUCAGCUCUGUAGUGACUGGUUGGGACUGUCAGGUGUAGCUCAGGUCACAGGUAUAGUAGCUCAGCUCUGUAGUGACUGGUUGGGACUGUCAGGUGUAGCUCAGGUCACAGGUAUAGUAGCUCAGCUCUGUAGUGACUGGUUGGGACUGUCAGGUGUAGCUCAGGUCACAGGUAUAGUAGCUCAGCUCUGUAGUGACUGGUUGGGACUGUCAGGUGUAGUACUGUAGCUCAGGUCACAGGUAUAGUAGCUCAGUACUGUAGUGACUGGUUGGGACUGUCAGGUGUAGUACUGUAGAACAGGUCACAGGUAUAGUAGUUCA